rnacentral:lncRNA from 1 species
ACAGCUGGCACAGCAGCCCAGCGCUGGCAGAGGGAGGGCAGUUGGGUAAAGGCUGCAUCAGCCAAAGGAACAUUCUUCAUGAAGGAAAAGACAGCCUUCCUCUGGCAGCACUCCUCCCCACCCUGCGAGAGGCUGAGGAUGGGGCCUUGGUGGUUUAGUGCUGAUCACGUUCUUCCUUAGCCGCGAAAUAAAUACAGCCUGUAUGGUUGUGAAAGUGGGAUGGGGUACGAACAGAGUAGCUCUUUUUAAAACUGCCUGUAAGCGAGUACGCCUGGCGGUUUCAACCCCUUUUGGAUUUACAGGCCCACCAAAUUCUUAUGAAGCUGUUCUAAAUGCUAAAAGACAUCAGCCUAAGAUGCAAUUCCUGAUCCACAGAGGCAAGCUAUGACAACAGAUAGAGAACACAACCACAUGGCAAACACAGCAUCCAGCAAGUAAGAGCAGCCCUGAUGGAAGUUGCACAACACACACAUAAGGUUAGUAAAUUGGAGGUGGGGAGGGAGGUUAGGAUUAGAGCUUUUUGUGUAUUUCUGGCUUUGCUGUUUUGUUUUUCACCUGCAUCGGAGAACACAGGUUUUUAACAUGUUUCUGUUUUUUCAUCAAGUUCAACAUAAGAACAUGCUGCAGGACAGCCUGUCUGAAAAACACCAUACCCUGAUGUAAGAUGAAGUAGGAGCCACUCCAGUUAGUUUCCGUUACCCAAACUGGUGGUGAUGGUGUUUAGUAAUGAGUGGGUUUGCUAAUGGCAAGGACACCUAAUUAUAAGGAGGACUUUUCUGAAGAGGCUGUAUAUGUGGCCUUACAAAGCUGAACUGUUUUGUCCAGAAAGCUUCUCCCAUCCCAUGUGUUCAGCAUUCAACCGAUUUAACUAAAAUAGCUUAAGGUACAUUGGAGGUAAAAUUCCAGUUACAUUUAAUUGAGUGGGGAUGAGUUCAUCACAUAGUUGAAGAGACAUUGUUGACGAUGUAUCCAAGCUGUUUUUCUAGCAUGAUACAGCCCAGACACCUGUGCAAGUUAAGAAUGUGUAAGUGCUAUGAAGUGUGACUAUUAUGUUUCAGUUCAAGAUUCCCAGUCAAGAGUUGAAUGCCGCACCGUGUACUAAAUUAAAAAAAAAUCCAACAAAACCAAAACUAUUUUGUGGAAACAGAUUUUUCAGACUUACUUUUAAGCAACUUGUGUAGCACAUGAUAUUACACAAUAUGAAGCGUACGAUAAAACAAGCUCUAUUUAGGCAGUAGUUCUUCCAUUGCCGGAGUU